GACAGAGGGUGCAAACGUUGUUCGGAAUUACUGGGCGUAAAGGGCGCGUAGGCGGCCUGUUAAGUCGAACGUGAAAUCCCCAGGCUCAACCUGGGAACUGCGUCCGAUACUGGCAGGCUUGAAUCCGGGAGAGGGAUGCGGAAUUCCAGGUGUAGCGGUGAAAUGCGUAGAUAUCAUCAGGAACACCAGUGGCGAAAGCGGCUCACUGGGUCUCUUCUGACGCUGAGAUACGAAAGCUAGGGGAGCAAAUGGG
rnacentral:rRNA from 1 species